rnacentral:rRNA from 1 species
GAUGAACGCUGGCGGCGUGCCUAACACAUGCAAGUCGAACGGAGUUAUUAUUAUGAAGUUUUCGGAUGGAUUAAUAAUAACUUAGUGGCGGACGGGUGAGUAACGCGUGGGUAACCUGCCUCAUACAGGGGGAUAACAGUUGGAAACGACUGCUAAAACCGCAUAACAUUGCGACGUCGCAUGACGAUGCAAUUAAAUAUUUAUAGGUAUGAGAUGGGCCCGCGUCUGAUUAGCUAGUUGGUGAGGUAAUGGCUCACCAAGGCGACGAUCAGUAGCCGGCUUGAGAGAGUGACCGGCCACAUUGGGACUGAGACACGGCCCAAACUCCUACGGGAGGCAGCAGUGGGGAAUAUUGCACAAUGGGGGAAACCCUGAUGCAGCGACGCCGCGUGAGUGAAGAAGUAUUUCGGUAUGUAAAGCUCUAUCAGCAGGGAAGAAAUUGACGGUACCUGACUAAGAAGCCCCGGCUAACUACGUGCCAGCAGCCGCAGUAA